rnacentral:rRNA from 1 species
GAUGAACGCUGGCGGCGUGCCUAAUACAUGCCAGUCGAGCGAACAGACGAGGAGCUUGCUCCUCUGACGUUAGCGGCGGACGGGUGAGUAACACGUGGAUAACCUACCUAUAAGACUGGGAUAACUUCGGGAAACCGGAGCUAAUACCGGAUAAUAUAUUGAACCGCAUGGUUCAAUAGUGAAAGACGGUUUUGCUGUCACUUAUAGAUGGAUCCGCGCCGCAUUAGCUAGUUGGUAAGGUAACGGCUUACCAAGGCGACGAUGCGUAGCCGACCUGAGAGGGUGAUCGGCCACACUGGAACUGAGACACGGUCCAGACUCCUACGGGAGGCAGCAGUAGGGAAUCUUCCGCAAUGGGCGAAAGCCUGACGGAGCAACGCCGCGUGAGUGAUGAAGGUCUUCGGAUCGUAAAACUCUGUUAUUAGGGAAGAACAAAUGUGUAAGUAACUAUGCACGUCUUGACGGUACCUAAUCAGUAAGCCACGGCUAACUACGUG